AAAUCGAAAUUUGCAUGGGAUAGACAAGGAAUCCAUGCAUUUUGGAGGAGAAAUUAUCCCCGAUAAAAAAGUCAGAAAAGGAGGGGGUAGUAGUGGCCAUACUUCAGGUGCCUGUGCAGUGUUGACUUCUUCAAUAUCAUCCUCUGUUAAAGAACGUUAUUCGCUUGCCGUGCAUCAUUCCUGACUAGUUUAAACUGAUAAUUGUUGAAUCACAAAAUCGGGAAGUUCGUCAGAAAAUAAAAAUCAGUCCAUAUCCGUUAAAUGCAGUGAGAUAUUUCGUUGAACAAAACGGUAGGCCUACACUAUUUUCACAUUGCGUUGUUUACAUCGAUGGGUCGUUGUGACGUCACAAACACACAUAAUCAAGAACGAUAAGCGGAUAACAAAUUCAUUCUAUGUACAAGUUUACAGCUUUAUUUCUUAUCAAUCCAAGGACAAUAAUUUUUUAUUAAAUGCUGUUUGACCUUCAUUCAUACUCAUCUUUAUGAUUUUAAAGUAAAAUACCAUUGUUAGAAAUCGUUUCAUAUGACCUUUAAUUUUGAGAUGAUCCCCAGUAUGGUAGAAACAGUUUUGAAUCCGUGGCUCAGACGUCGUGCUUAAUCUGUCCACCUUACGAGGGGAAAAAUAGUGCGCUUAUAAACCAUUAAUAUACAGUACAAAAGGUCAUUUUUAUAAAAGAAACCAUGGAUGAAAAUUGUUUUAAAAGGGAUUAUAGUUUAUAAUUAAUAAUGGUUUUGCCAUUCUGUGGUAGAGCAUCCUUACUCGUCUGGAAUAAUAAAAUGUUUAAUUUAUAUUACUACAUGUGUUCAGUGUUUUUAAUUUUACGAUAAAUAAUAUCAGCUUAAUAUCUGCAAUAAAUACACAAACAGGUUUCCAUAGUUGGUAUUGAACAACUUUUAAUAUUUGAGUAUUUCCCUUAUGGCCUGCUAUAGUUUAGGUUGGUUACGGAUUGUUUUUCAUGGUUCAUCGGUUCGUUUCUUAAUUAUUGGUCACAUGACAGUUCUUGGUCAGUGUAAGAUUCAGUUUGAAUUUAGAAAUUGAAUUGGGCAGUUGUUUCAUACUUUAGUUGAAACUUUGGACAUUUGGACUUACAGACUACAAUCUACUAAUCAGAUAUACACCAGAUCUACACAUUACUAUAGAUCCAUCCGGAUUCUAAUACCACAUAUUUGGUAAGAGUGUGUUAUGUAUUGUUUAGGUGGUGUUUGAUAUGUUUGUCUUGCCAUUAUAUGUUCUGGACAGGUUCUUAGUUUAAAUGCAGAAUAUUAAGUAAAUUUGAUUAAUUAUGAUUUUAUAUUAAUGAUG